rnacentral:misc_RNA from 1 species
CAUGAAUUCUAUCAAAACGUCGUCGUAUUGAGGCACGGCGACCGUAUUGACAAUUUUGAUCCUGACUGGGCGACCACAGCCGCUAGGCCCUGGGACCCACCCCUAAUUGAAAAUGGUCGUGUCAGGGCAUUCUGCACCGGCGGGUGCCUAAAUUCGCGUCUCGGUUUCCCGAUCCACCGCGUCUUUGUUUCCCCCUUCCUCCGCUGCAUCCAAACCGCUUCUGAGGUUGUUUCCGCUCUAUGCGCCGUCGACGACUACCUCGACGUCAGUUGCGGCGACGGUGUAGCAAUCGAUUCCUCCAAAGUCAAGGUUUCUAUCGAGUAUGGAUUAUGUGAGAUGUUGAAUGCGCAAGCCAUUAGACAUGAUGUUGCACCCAAAGAUGGGGAUUUUGGUUUCAUUAUCUCCGAGCUUGAAGCCUUGCUACCAGCUGGGACAGUGGAUCACACAGCAAAACCAGUUCAUGAAGAGCUGCCACGGUGGGAAGAAACAGUAACAGAUACAAGAUUAAGAUAUGAACAUGUUUUUAAGGCACUUGCGGAUAAAUACCCAUCAGAAAAUUUGCUGCUUGUCACACAUGGAGAAGGAGUUGGUGUUUCAGUUUCUGCAUUCCUGAAAGAUGCAACAGUGUAUGAAGUGGAGUAUUGUGCAUAUUCACAACUAAGAAGGCGGGUUUUCCAGGAAAACCAGUCAUUUAUAGCUGAAGACUUUGAGGUGCGUACUAAGAGUAAUCAAACUGGCGUCAGUUACUGCUCGUCAAUCGCUACACCCAAUGGUGCCAUGGAUGAUUCUGCAUGAAAUUUCCACACUAAAAUUGAUUUAACUGCGACAUAUUCAGCCCAUUAUUUGGGUGCUUUUGUUCCCCCUUCCCCUCCCCUCCCCUC